UAAUGUUAUAAGGUAUAAGCAAUGAUGUUAUAAUAAAAAGAAGUAGAUAAGUUAUACGCGGACUGCAAGUGGCACAUCAAAACUAGGCUACUUAGCAAACCUGAGCUCAGUCACCGCCCUGUCGUCGCGCAGUCACAACGUCUUUGAAAGUGAU